rnacentral:rRNA from 1 species
UACGUAGGGUGCAAGCGUUGUCCGGAAUUAUUGGGCGUAAAGAGCUCGUAGGCGGUGUGUCGCGUCGGCCGUGAAAACCUGCAGCUUAACUGUGGGCUUGCGGUCGAUACGGGCAUCACUGGAGUUCGGCAGGGGAGACUGGAAUUCCUGGUGUAGCGGUGAAAUGCGCAGAUAUCAGGAGGAACACCGGUGGCGAAGGCGGGUCUCUGGGCCGAUACUGACGCUGAGGAGCGAAAGCGUGGGGAGCGAAUGGG